rnacentral:rRNA from 1 species
UACAGAGGGUGCGAGCGUUGUCCGGAAUCACUGGGCGUAAAGGGCGCGUAGGCGGUUUCUUAAGCGUGUGGUGAAAGCCCGGAGCUCAACUCCGGGUCGGCCGUGCGAACUGGGAGACUGGAGCUUGUCAGAGGCAGGCGGAAUUCCGGGUGUAGCGGUGGAAUGCGUAGAGAUCCGGAAGAACACCGGUGGCGAAAGCGGCUUCCUGGUCCAGCACCGACGUUCAGGCACGAAAGCGUGGGGAGCAAACAGG